CAGAAACUCUAUAAGGGGUUUAUCAGCAGAUAUAAAGAGACACAGACAGUAUAACACUCUGUUCAGACCUUUCAUAUCUCUCAUAUCUGUUUCAGAUGUUCACCUGCAGCGGCAGGCCGCGUCUCGAGCCGGAUACACGAGCGCAUCUUCAUCAUCUUCAUCAUCUUCCUCACCCUCUUCAUCUUCAUCAUCACCAUCACAGGCAGAAUUGAGAUUCAGGAUUCUCAUCGUAUCUGCUGGGAAGCUGGGUUCCUCACACUGGAUUCUAGACGUUUCUUCUUCAAUGCUCCCAGGCGCUUCUAGUAUUUGAUUCAAGGAUAUUUUUAGGGUAUUUCUCCAAUUAUACAUCACAUACACAUCUCAUAAAACAGUACAACUCUCCCCUUCAAGGCAAGACACUCCAGUUAAACAGGGUAAAAAAUUUAAUAAUACACAUCAUCAUUCUUCCCCAGUUGAUUUAUGAUAUUAAGAACUGCACAUAUUUUAUUAUUACAAGUUUUCUGAGAUUUUAUGUGUACAAACAAGACUAUAUAGUUUUCAAGUACUUAUGCAUACAUUUUCUUAAAUAUGAAUAUGAACACCGGAUAAGGGCAGGUGAAAAAAUAUUGCUUGAUUUUCUAUACAUAUUACAGUUUAUAUAUAUUAUAUGUAUAUAUAUAUUUUUUUUCUUUUCACAAAAGCUAUUUUUUAUUUAUCUUUUUAUCACUCCUUAAAUCAGUAAAUACUGUCAACAGAAAGAAAACAAGUACCAUGUUCACAAUGUUUUUUGGAAUAAAAGGUUCUGUAAAUCAGUGUGAAUGAUAUAUGAACAAAUCCUUCAGUAAAAACCUUCAGAAUAUAGAUUAGAAUAUAAUCCUAAAUUUUGGUGCAUGUAAGUGCUGCUAAAGUGGAGAAAUAAACUCACAUCGUUUAAAAAUUAGCAUUUUCAGCAUGUUUUUAUGAAUAAAAUGUUGUAUAAAUGAGUUUGAAAGAUAUAUGAACAAACCCUUCAGUAAAAACCUCCAUAAUAUAGAUAUGAAUAUAAUCCUAAAUUUUGGUGCAUGUAAGCGCUGCUGAAGUGGAGAAACAAACCCAAAGUCUUUAAAAAUUAGCAUUUUCGGCAUGUUUUUAGGAAUAAAAUGUUGUAUAAAUCAGUGUGAAUGAUAUAUGAACAAACCCUUCAGUAAAAACCUUCAGUAUAUAGAUAUGAAUGAAUCUCUAAGUUUUGGUUUGUGUAAGUGUUGCUGAAGUGGAGAUAUAUAUCUGUGUAAAGAUAUAUAUUGUAAAUGAAAUUUUAGACAUGCAAACAGAUGAAGUUAAGACAUUUUUUUUAAUUAAGUUAAAAAUUUAAUAUGAAAGUUUAUAUUUGAUGUGUUUACUGAUUAUAUAUUGAUCAGUAAAUGUAUUUUAUAUGUAGACCUGGCUCUCUGUCUCUGUGCAUCGAAUCAGAACACAACUGAACCUGGAGCUCAAGUAGAGACGUGAUGGUUUAUAAUAGACACAUCACUGUCAGAAUAAAUCUGAGACUUUAUCUGUCCACUGUAACCCGCUUUACGCUUCUCUGAACUCCAAACAACCUGUGACUUAAAUGAACUGAGAAAUCCACUGGAUCUAAACAUGGAGCAGAAUUUGUGCAUCUCAGUGGGGUUCUGCUUGAUUCUCAGCCGAGAAUGACGUCUAAUGUACAAUUCAGUUAUGCAAUUUGAGUUGAGACAGCAAGUCUGCGACAUUAAUAGUUUUUGCUUGUUUUUCAAAUUCGCUGAUAUGUAUUUGUUAAUUAUUAAAAAAAUCAAAACUUC